rnacentral:rRNA from 1 species
CAAACGACUCUCGGCAACGGAUAUCUCGGCUCACGCAUCGAUGAAGAACGUAGCAAAAUGCGAUACUUGGUGUGAAUUGCAGAAUCCCGUGAACCAUCGAGUUUUUGAACGCAAGUUGCGCCCAAAGCCUUUCGGCCAAGGGCACGUCUGCCUGGGCGUCACAC